AGAGCAGCAGGGGGCUGAAGAAGAGGAGGAUGGGGCUGGGAGCCAGGGGGGCCUCUAUGAGGCCAUUGCAGGACACUGGAUUCAGGUCCUGCAGUGCCGACAACGUUGUGUGGGGGAAACAUCCACACGCCCUGGUCGCAGCUUCCCUGUCCCAGACUUCCUUCCCAACCAGCUGAGGCGGCUACAUGAGGCCCAUGCUCAGAUGGGCAAUCUGUCCCAGGCUAUAGAAAAUGUCCUGAGUGUCCUGCUCUUCUACCCAGAGGAUGAGGCUGCCAAGAGGGCUCUGAACCAGUACCAGGCCCAGCUGGGAGAGCCAAGACCUGGCCUCGGACCCAGAGAGGACAUCCAGCGCUUCAUCCUCCGAUCCCUGGGGGAGAAAAGGCAGCUCUACUAUGCCAUGGAGCACCUGGGGACCAGCUUCAGGGAUCCUGACCCCUGGACCCCUGCAGCUCUCAUCCCUGAGGCACUUAGAGAAAAGCUCAGAUGUACUUCUCCUGGAGGGUGUGACCUUGACGCAGGAUUCCAGGCAGCUGAAUGGGUCGGAGCGGGCGGUGUUGGAUGGGCUGCUCACCCCAGCCGAGUGUGGGGUGCUACUGCAGCUGGCUAAGGAUGCAGCUGGGGCUGGAGGCAGGUCUGGCUAUCAUGGUCGCCGCUCCCCUCACACCCCCCAUGAACGCUUCGAGGGGCUCACAGUGCUUAAGGCUGCGCAG
rnacentral:sRNA from 1 species